rnacentral:rRNA from 2 species
GUACUGCGAAACUGCGAAUGGCUCAUUAAAUCAGUUAUCGUCUAUUUGAUAGUACCUUACUACUUGGAUAACCGUGGUAAUUCUAGAGCUAAUACAUGCUGAAAACCCCGACUUCGGAAGGGAUGUAUUUGUUAGAUUAAAAGCCAAUGCCCUCCGGGGCCCCCUGGUGAUUCAUGACAACUUCUCGAAUCGCACGGCCUUGCGCCGGCGAUGGUUCAUUCAAAUUUCUGCCCUAUCAACUUUCGACGGCUGGGUCUUGGCCAGCCGUGGUGACAACGGGUAACGGAGGGUUAGGGCUCGACCCCGGAGAAGGAGCCUGAGAAACGGCUACUACAUCCAAGGAAGGCAGCAGGCGCGCAAAUUACCCAAUCCCGACACGGGGAGGUAGUGACAAUAAAUACUGAUACAGGGCUCUUUUGGGUCUUGUAAUUGGAAUGAGUACAAUUUAAUUCCCUUAACGAGGAACAAUUGGAGGGCAAGUCUGGUGCCAGCAGCCGCGGUAAUUCCAGCUCCAAUAGCGUAUAUUAAAGUUGUUGCAGUUAAAAAGCUCGUAGUUGAACCUUGGGCCUGGCUGGCCGGUCCGCCUCACCGCGUGCACUGGUCCGGCCGGGCCUUUCCCUCUGGGGAGCCGCAUGCCCUUCGCUGGGCGUGCCGGGGAACCAGGACGUUUACUUUGAAAAAAUUAGAGUGUUCAAAGCAGGCUUAUGCUCGGAUACAUUAGCAUGGAAUAAUGGAAUAGGACGUGCGGUUCUAUUUUGUUGGUUUCUAGGACCGCCGUAAUGAUCAAUAGGGACAGUCGGGGGCAUCAGUAUUCAGUUGUCAGAGGUGAAAUUCUUGGAUUUACUGAAGACUAACUACUGCGAAAGCAUUUGCCAAGGAUGUUUUCAUUAAUCAGGAACGAAAGUUAGGGGAUCGAAGACGAUCAGAUACCGUCGUAGUCUUAACCAUAAACUAUGCCGACUAGGGAUCGGACGGUGUUAUUUUUUGACCCGUUCGGCACCUUACACGAAAGUACAAGUUUCUGGG